rnacentral:misc_RNA from 1 species
AACGCACCUUGCGCUCCUUGGUAUUCCUUGGAGCAUGCCUGUUUGAGUAUCAUGAAAUCUUCAAAGUAAAAUCUUUUGUUCACUCAAUUGGUUUGACUUUGGUAUUGGAGGUUUUGCAGCUUCACACCUGCUCCUCUUUGUGCAUUAGCUGGAUCUCAGUGUUAUGCUUGGUUCCACUCAGCGUGAUAAAUUAUCUAUCGUUGAGGACACUGUAAAAAGGUGGCCAAGGUAAAUGCAGAUGAACCGCUUCUAAUAGUCCAUUGACUUGGACAAUAUUUUUUGAUCUGAUCUCAAAUCAGGUAGGACUACCCGCUGAACUUAA